rnacentral:tRNA from 1 species
AUGGCUCAAUGAUAGAGUGCUUGCCUAGCAUGCAUGAGGUCAUGGGUUCUACUCCCACU